GAUGAACGCUAGCUAUAGGCUUACACAUGCAAGUCGAGGGGAAACGGCAUUAUGUGCUUGCACAUUUUGGACGUCGACCGGCGCACGGGUGAGUAUCGCGUAUCCAACCUGCCCUCCACUCGGGGUAUACCCCGCUUGAAAGACGGCCUAAUACCCGAUGUUGUCCACAUAUGGCAUCUGACGUGGACCAAAGAUUCAUCGGUGGAGGAUGGGGGUGCGUCUGAUUAGCUUGUUGGUGCGGGUAACGGCCCACCAAGGCGACGAUCAGUAGGGGUUCUGACAGGAAGGUCCCCCACAUUGGAACUGAGACACGGUCCAAACUCCUACGGGAGGCAGCAGUGAGGAAUAUUGGUCAAUGGACGGAAGUCUGAACCAGCCACGUAGCGUGCAGGAUUGACGGCCCUAUGGGUUGUAAACUGCUUUAGUUGGGGAGUACAGUGAGGCACGCGUGCCUUUCUGCAUUUACCCUUCGAAUAAGGACCGGCUAAUUCCGUGCCAGCAGCCGCGGUAAUACGGAAGGUCCAGGCGUUAUCCGGAUUUAUUGGGUUUAACAGGGAGUGUAUGCGGUCUGUUAAGCGUGUCGUGACAUUUAGGUGCUCAACAUCUACCUUGCAGCGCGAACUGGCGGACUUGAGUGCACGCAACGUAUGCGGAAUUCAUGGUGUAGCGGUGAGCUGCUUAGAUAUCGUGACGAACUCCGAUUGCGAAGGCCGCGUACGGGAGUGUUACUGACGCUUAAGCUCGACGGUGCGGGUAUCGAACAGGAUUAGAUACCUGGUAGUUCGCACGGGUAACGAUGGAUG
rnacentral:rRNA from 1 species